rnacentral:rRNA from 1 species
AGUGAACGCUGGCGGUAGGCCUAACACAUGCAAGUCGAACGGCAGCACAGUAAGAGCUUGCUCUUACGGGUGGCGAGUGGCGGACGGGUGAGGAAUACAUCGGAAUCUACUUUUUCGUGGGGGAUAACGUAGGGAAACUUGCGCUAAUACCGCAUACGACCUACGGGUGAAAGCAGGGGAUCUUCGGACCUUGCGCGAUUGAAUGAGCCGAUGUCGGAUUAGCUAGUUGGCGGGGUAAAGGCCCACCAAGGCGACGAUCCGUAGCUGGUCUGAGAGGAUGAUCAGCCACACUGGAACUGAGACACGGUCCAGACUCCUACGGGAGGCAGCAGUGGGGAAUAUUGGACAAUGGGCGCAAGCCUGAUCCAGCCAUACCGCGUGGGUGAAGAAGGCCUUCGGGUUGUAAAGCCCUUUUGUUGGGAAAGAAAAGCAGCAGGUUAAUACCCCGCUGUUCUGACGGUACCAAAAGAAUAAGCACCGGCUAACUUCGUG